rnacentral:lncRNA from 1 species
UUUUUCUUCAAGGUCUCUCCAAUGAGCACCGGUGCAUUUGGGAAUUCACAUUCAGUUUGUUCAUUUCUUUGAUAUAUGAUCUGUAAGUUAACAUGUCUCCUCGGUUUCUCUUUUAGAACCAAGAGGUGGUAACCGUUUUUUUUAAAUAUGUAUUAUAUAUUAUUAAGAGCUCUGUGGCGAUGCCGUUGUUUGGAAUGAGUAGCAGAGUAUGGAUGCAAGACAGCCCAACAAAGUUCAGGCUCGAAAGUUUUUUGGAUCAAAGAGCUCAAAAGAUACACCCACCCACCUAGAGACCCAUUGAAG